AUCACAUGGUCGCUGGCGCUUUUGCGCGAGAGGAAAGUCCGGGCUUCACAGGGCAGGAUGCCGGUUAACGGCCGGCGGAGGCAACUCCAGGGACAGUGCAACAGAAAUAUACCGCCUGCUUUGCAGGUAAGGGUGGAAAGGCGGUGUAAGAGACCACCGUUCCUCUGGUAACAGGGGAAGCCAUGUAAACCCCAUCCGAAGCAAGACCGCAUAGGGAGAUAAGGCGGCCCGUCUCUCCCAGGUAGGUCGCUCGAGGCUGCUGGCGACAGCAGCUCUGGAUAGAUGGCCAUGCAACGACAUAACCCGGCUUAUCGAUCUGCCUGU
rnacentral:RNase_P_RNA from 1 species